UACGAAGGGGGGCUAGCGUUGCUCGGAAUCACUGGGCGUAAAGCGCACGUAGGCGGACUCUUAAGUCGGUGGUGAAAUCCUGGAGCUCAACUCCAGAACUGCCUUCGAUACUGAGAGUCUCGAGUCCGGGAGAGGUGAGUGGAACUGCGAGUGUAGAGGUGAAAUUCGUAGAUAUUCGCAAGAACACCAGUGGCGAAGGCGGCUCACUGGCCCGGUACUGACGCUGAGGUGCGAAAGCGUGGGGAGCGAACGGG
rnacentral:rRNA from 1 species